AACGAACGCUGGCGGCAUGCCUAACACAUGCAAGUCGAACGAGACCUUCGGGUCUAGUUGCGCACGGGUGCGUAACGCGUGGGAACCUUCCCUUAGGUUCGGAAUAACUCCCCGAAAGGGGCGCUAAUACCGGACAAUGUCUUCUGACCAAUGAUUUAUCGCCUUUGGAUGGGCCCGCAUUGGAUUAGCUAGUUGGUAGGGUAAAAGCCUACCAAGGCGACGAUCCAUAGCUGGUCUGAGAGGAUGAUCAGCCACACUGGGACUGAGACACGGCCCAGACUCCUACGGGAGGCAGCAGUGGGGAAUAUUGGACAAUGGGCGAAAGCAUGAUCCAGCAAUGCCGCGUGAGUGAUGAAGGCCUUAGGGUUGUAAAGCUCUUUUACCCGGGAUGAUAAUGACAGUACCGGGAGAAUAAGCUCCGGCUAACUCCGUG
rnacentral:rRNA from 1 species